rnacentral:rRNA from 1 species
UACGUAGGGGGCAAGCGUUGUCCGGAUUUAUUGGGCGUAAAGAGCGUGUAGGCGGCUUGGUAGGUCCGCUGUGAAAACUCGAGGCUCAACCUCGAGAUGUCGGCGGAAACCACUUGGCUAGAGUCCGGUAGGGGACCACGGAAUUCCUGGUGUAGCGGUGAAAUGCGCAGAUAUCAGGAGGAACACCGAUGGCGAAGGCAGGUCUCUGGGCAUUAACUGACGCUGAGGAGCGAAAGCGUGGGGAGCGAACAGG